GCACUAAUGCGCUAUUUCGUGGCAGUAAGUUUUUAUUCAUGAUGGAGGAAGCUUCAGUACCAGGAGAGAACCACCGACCUUCUAUAGUAAAACUGGCAAUCCUUGUAAAUUAAGAUUGGAGUCGAAGGCACCUGUCACAUGCCGGAUUAGAUCUCACAACAUUAGUGUUGACAGGCUAGUGAUACAUCAUUUAGACCACCACC
rnacentral:lncRNA from 1 species